rnacentral:rRNA from 1 species
UGAAUACGAGACGCUAAGGCGUCGAAGUAGUGUAUGUCAUACUUCCAAGAAAAGCUUGCACUGUCAUAGAUAAAAAACGCCUGUACCAUAACCGACACAGGUGGGUAGGUAGAGUAUACUAAGGGGCGCGAGAUAACUCUCUCUAAGGAACUCGGCAAAAUGACUCCGUAACUUCGGGAGAAGGAGUGCCUUAUUCUUAAGGUUGCAAUAACAAGAUCCAAGCAACUGUUUAUCAAAAACACAGGUCUCCGCUAAGUCGUAAGACGAUGUAUGGGGGCUGACGCCUGCCCAGUGCCAGAAGGUUAAAGAAGUUGGUUAGCAUUUGCGAAGCUGAUAACUGAAGCCCUGGUGAACGGCGGCCGUAACGAUAACGGUCCUAAGGUAGCGAAAUUCCUUGUCGGGUAAGUUCCGACCCGCACGAAAGGCGUAAUGAUUUGGAUACUGUCUCGGAGAGGGGCUCGGUGAAAUAGACUUGUCUGUGAAGAUGCGGACUACCUGCACCAGGACAGAAAGACCCUAUGAAGCUUUACUGUAACUUGAAAUUGAAAUUGGACUUUAUUCGCGCAGUAUAGGUGGGAGGCGUUGAUUAUAAUCUUGCGGGAUUAUUGGAGCCAUCAGUGAGAUACCACCCUUGUAAUGUUAGAUUUCUAACUUUGAAUCAUUAUCUGGUCAAAGAACAGUUUCAGGCGGGCAGUUUGACUGGGGCGGUCGCCUCCUAAACGGUAACGGAGGCGUACAAAGGUUUCCUCUGAACGGUUAGAAAUCGUAUCUAGAGUGUAAAGGCAUAAGGAAGCUUGACUGUGAGACCUACAAGUCGAGCAGGGACGAAAGUCGGUCUUAGUGAUCUGACGGUACUGAGUGGAAAGGCCGUCACUCAACGGAUAAAAGUUACUCUAGGAUAACAGGCUGAUCUCCCCCAAGAGUUCACAUCGACGGGGAGGUUUGGCACCUCGAUGUCGGCUCAUCGCAUCCUGGGGCGGUAGUACGUCCCAAGGGUUGGGCUGUUCGCCCAUGAAAGCGGUACGCGAGCUGGGUUCAGAACGUCGUGAGACAGUUCGGUCCAUAUCCGGUGUAGGCGUUAGAAUAUUGAGAGGAGCCUUCUUUAGUACGAGAGGACCGAGAAGGACAUACCUCUGGUGUACCAGUUAUCGUGCCAACGGUAAACGCUGGGUAGCUAUGUAUGGAGUGGAUAACCGCUGAAAGCAUCUAAGUGGGAAGCCCACCUCAAGAUAAG